UACGGAGGGUGCAAGCGUUAAUCGGAAUUACUGGGCGUAAAGCGCGCGUAGGUGGCUUCGUAAGUCCGUUGUGAAAGUCAAAGGCUCAACCUUUGAAAGCCGAUGGAUACUGCGGAGCUAGAGUACGGAAGAGGGGAAUGGAAUUCCCGGUGUAGCGGUGGAAUGCGCAGAUAUCGGGAAGAACACCCGUGGCGAAGGCGGUUCUCUGGGACGGUACUGACGCUGAGACGCGAAAGCGUGGGGAGCGAACAGG
rnacentral:rRNA from 1 species